rnacentral:lncRNA from 1 species
UUCAAUUUGGCAUUUCCCUUUUAUUUUCAGAUACUUCAGCUGCAAGAACGACUUUGGUCUAUUUGCUCCUGCUCAUAAGGUUACACGAGUCGCCAGGACUUCCACCACUAAAGUCACCCGUAUCACAACACUUGAACCCGUGUCUUUGCCAGGAGUUCGUCGAUCACUGACUCCGGAGUUUCUGAACAAUUCUUGCCAUGAGAAGCUUCUGAAAAUUUGAGAAAACGGGAUCAACCAACAAAAAAGUUGAAAUUUGUUUCCGACUUUCAAUUGAGUGAUGAAUUGUAAAAUAUCCUCGUAAACUUUUUUUCUUUUAAACAACAUUAUUUUUGUCACAGCAUUCUACAUUGCUAAAAUGGCAAAACAAAUUUGAUGUUUGGAACAUUGUUUUUAUCUAACAAAUAUGAUAGAAAAUGUUUGUUUUUGUUUUAAUUAAAGUUAUAUAUUCCAGAAUACAAACUGUAAACAUAAUUUAGUAAACAUUUAAAUGUUGUAUUUAUGACAAAGCUACCAGGCUAUUUGCUGCCAUCUCUAUCUUUGAACCACUAAUCAUAGGGAAGACGAGCCAACAGCAUCCUAUCACCUGCCAUCCAUGUAAAGGAAUUGACUGUCCUUCUUAUAACGCACUCAGAGCUCCACCACAGAGUGAAUUCACUUCCCAAUUAAAAUCAAUAAGUAUACUUGGGCUUCCUUCGUAAAUCAUUGUGUGGAUAUAAAUAAUUUAUAACCUUGAUUAAUGGUGAACUGUAAAUCAUUUACAUGAAACAUGAUGCCACCUGGUGGGGUUGUAAUGGUGUCACCUAGUGAGGUAAUGAUGGUGUUACUUUGUGGGGUAGCGAUGGUGUAACCUGGUGUAGUUUUGAUGAUGUCAUAUCGUGGGGUUCUGAUGACGUAAUCUUGUGGGGUAGUGAUAAUGUUACCUGGUGGGGUAGUGAUGGUGUAACUUGGUGUGGUUGUAAUGGUGUGACCUGGUUUUGAUGAUGUCAUAUCGUGAGGUAGUGAUGAUGUUAUCAGGUGGCGUAGUGAUGAUGUAACUUGGUGUGGUUGUGAUGAUGUCAUAUCGUGAGGUAGUGAUGCUGUUACUUUGUGAGAUAGUGAUAAUGUUACCUGGUGGGGUAGUGAUGAUGUAACCUGGUGUAAUUGUGAUAACGUUACCUGGUGGUGUAGUGAUGGUGUAACUUGUUGUGGUUGUGAUGAUGUCAUAUCGUGGGAUAGUGAUGGUGUAACUUGGUGUGGUUGUGAUGAUGUCAUAUCGUGGGAUAGUGAUAGUGUCAUCUGGUAGGGUUAUGAUGGUGUCACCUGGUAUAGUAGUGAUACUGCCACCUGGUGUGGUAGUGAAGCUUUCACGUUACAGAUAAUGAUGAUGUCAUCUUCUGGGGUAGUGAAGCUGUCUCCUGGUGGGGUAGUGAUGCUGUCAUCUGGUGGGGGUAAUGAUACUACCAUCUGAUGGGGUAGUAAAGCUGUUACCUUACAAAUAAUUAUGAUGUCAUCUUGUAGAGGUAGUGAUGGUGCCACCUAGUGGAGUAGUGACUCACUUAGUUCACAGAUGCAGACUUACGUAAAUUAUAUCCAAGUUACGUGGAAAUAUUAAAAUAUAUACGCCUAGUUUGAUGCUCUAUUUUAUCACCAAAAUAUUAAAACAUCUUCUUAUACGCCUGAAUUGAUGCUCUAUUUUAUUACAAGUUCUUUAUUUUUUCUUUUCUUAUUGUGUUUGUUUCUACUUGGGUGAAGAUAAUUUAGAAGGAAUUUUGUAAUUAAAGUACAUAAUGAUAUUAAAUUUAAUAAGCAUUUGUUUUGAUUCAUUAUGCGAUAUAUAUAUAUGUUUGUUUAAUUAUAAUAACACUAGGUGUCUAAUGUUUAUGACAGAUUUAAUUCAAUAGAUUAGAAUGUAUAUAAAUAUAUAUAUAUUCGGGGGUAGGUUAAGGCUGGAUCCUUAUUCCUCUAACGAUCUGAAGAUCUUCACUGAGAAGUCAGAUAUGUAUCAUUAUGUAGUCAGUCGUUUUUAAAUAAAAAAAAUAAAUAUCCUGACUAGA